rnacentral:rRNA from 1 species
UACGAAGGGUGCAAACGUUGCUCGGAAUCAUUGGGCGUAAAGCGCACGUAGGCGGCUUGCCAAGUCGGACGUGAAAUCCCUCAGCUCAACUGAGGACGUGCAUCCGAAACUGGCGAGCUUGAGUACUGAAGAGGAUCGCGGAAUUCCCGGUGUAGAGGUGAAAUUCGUAGAUAUCGGGAGGAACACCAGUGGCGAAGGCGGCCGGCUGGGGGUGACCUGACGCUGAGGCGCGAAAGCUAGGGGAGCAAACGGG